CAUCCACAACUCCUCAUGAAAAUAUAAAUAUCUGUUGUGAGAAGUCCCAGUGUAAAGACAAUAGUCUGCCUGUGGCUGAGAUGACUACUGGAGGACCAGCGUAACAUUGACUAGUGUCAGUGUGUAACAAGCUAAGGCCACUUCUAGCAGACUUUUUACACUGAUUGUAAUGUAUGUAUUCUUUCAUUCUGUGAAUCUUCUUGUUAGACGGAAAGUAGGAUUCUAUUUGCAUUGAUUGGUUGUUGGGUUUUUUAAAGGGACAGUUCACAGUUGAAACAAUAAAAAAGCUGAACCCUGCCUCUGUUUUUGUAAAAAGCUGUGGGAUGGGUCUGGAGAAGUGUAACUGCUCUAAGACAGAGCUAUGCAUGCACUGACUGACCAUCCAAAAUUAUGUCUUUAUCAAUGUUUUGGGCUAUACAGCGUAUGUUCACAUUUACAAACAUUGGAGCAAAACAAGCGGAUAUUUUGGGUUCGAUGGGGUACAACAGUUCAACUAAACUCAUAAGGCAGAAUAAGUUAUAUUCUUCAAGAUCCAAAAAAUGGAUGCAUUAACUGCUGAUUGCCCCUUUAACUGAUUAACAAUAAUUGUUUUAAUAAAGUCAAUAAUGACUUUGACUUUUGAGAUGAUAGUGGCCCUUGUUUCCAGAAACACACACACAUACAUUCAAUAUGUCUUUCUAAAAAUGUAUUCACCUGAAAAAGGCCUGUGUUUGGUGUGUUAACUCUCUAGUUUUCCCAAACACCAAUGGACCAAUGUUAGUAAAGUAAUGACUACCUAGUCUGCAUUACGUUCUAAUAGUCUAACUGUAGAUUUAUCAUCAUGAUGAUACUGUUUCAUGUUUGAUGCUCUGUCUGCUCGCCCCCCCCCCCCCCCCACACACACACACCAUCACACGCUCCCCACACACACGCUCUGUCUGCUCGCCCCACACACACACACUAUGUCUCUCUCUCUCUCUCUCGCUCUGUCUGUCUCUCUCGGUGCUUCAGUUUCGUUGUCUCUUCAGGGAGUUGCAGUUCUCAUCUGUAGCUCCACAGUACCUCGUCUCCUCCAGAGCUCCAGACAGUUCUCCAACCAGACAUGAACCAACCACCUCCCCAGACACAACCUACAAUCACCCCUGGUGUUCCCCAUGUGGAAAACCAGAGAACAGUUGUUGGUGGCAGGAUAUUCUGACGUAAGCAACACCUGGCCUUAGCAACCCCUCUGACAUGAUAUGAGGUCGUCGGGGUGCUAGUACCUCAUCCUCUACCCCACAUCUCUGAGGAGGUGUGACAUAGAGAUCAAACAACAGAAACAGUUAACUGUAGUUCAAAUUCAAUCCACGAUUAAAAUGGUAAUCUCCCAUAGAAAUAUAAUAUCAUUCUAGAUCUGUGAUAACUCCAUCCAAAGAGGUUCUAUCCUGUUCUGACCAGUUCUAUCUGGUUCUAACCAGUAUUCUCCUCCCU